CAAAUUAGAGCUUGUCUAAAAGCAUUUUAUUUACAUUAAAAAGUUUUAUUGUUUUCAAUAUAAUUUGA
rnacentral:tRNA from 1 species